GCUGGGUAGCUCAGUCAGUGGAGCAUGAAACUCUUAAUCCCAGGGGAAUGGGUUCGAGCCCCAUGAUGAGUG